rnacentral:rRNA from 1 species
AUUGAACGCUGGCGGCAUGCCUUACACAUGCAAGUCGAACGGUAACAGGUCUUCGGAUGCUGACGAGUGGCGAACGGGUGAGUAAUACAUCGGAACGUGCCUAGUAGUGGGGGAUAACUACUCGAAAGAGUGGCUAAUACCGCAUGAGAUCUACGGAUGAAAGCAGGGGAUCGCAAGACCUUGUGCUACUAGAGCGGCCGAUGGCAGGUUAGGUAGUUGGUGGGAUAAAAGCUUACCAAGCCGACGAUCUGUAGCUGGUCUGAGAGGACGAUCAGCCACACUAGGACUGAGACACGGCCCAGACUCCUACGGGAGGCAGCAGUGGGGAAUUUUGGACAAUGGGCGCAAGCCUGAUCCAGCAAUGCCGCGUGCAGGAUGAAGGCCUUCGGGUUGUAAACUGCUUUUGUACGGAACGAAAAGCCCUGGGUUAAUACCCUGGGGUCAUGACGGUACCGUAAGAAUAAGCACCGGCUAACUACGUGCCAGCCGCCGCCGUAAUAC